AGAAGAUCUGAGCAGCAGAGUGAGGGACUCUAUCCAACAUCUACAGAUACCAAAAUGGUUCGUGCAGGUAUGUGCGAACAUCGUAUACAAGGUGACAUGCACGCACUGCGGCAUAAGGGCAUGUGUGAGUGUGCCCAAUAUUCAUCAGCCCAGGUCCCGAGAGCCAAUUGCCUGUGUAAUAGUCAGUGAGUCGUGUUGACCCGUGUGACCUCCUAAGUACCUGAUGGUAGGAGGGAGCCAGAUAAUAGAAAUGAUAGACAAUUGCUAAUAAUUGAAUUAACAUUAAAGCAGAAGAAAUAAAAUCUCCUUACACAAAAAUCAAGGUUUACUUUACACUUGAUGCCAAUGGUUGGCUAUCAGAAUGUGAAUAUACAAAACAUAUUCAUUUUACAAAAGAGCCAUCAGAGUGCGAGCGUUACAAAGCACUCGUAACUAUCCUAAGGAUUCGAGAAGGGAUUCAGACAAGCUUUAAGGAGCAACACAUCGAGUGCGUCAUUGCUUUCAUCAUCUAAGGGGCACGAAUUGGGGGUGAGUUUAAUAUAAACUUAAUAAGGAAAACAUUACUCGAACUAUGUUUCUAAGGUUAGAAAAGUGACUAGCUUUUAAAGAAAAACAUAAGCUUUGCAAUAAAGUUGACUUACCUUAUAAGCUUUCACGGAUGAGCAUAUUUUAAGUACUUAAAGAAAAUUGUAUUUAGUCUCGAAAGAAAUAGGUGACCAAGACAUUAUAG
rnacentral:lncRNA from 1 species